GAUGAAGAACGUAGCGAAAUGCGAUAAGUAGUGUGAAUUGCAGAAUUCAGUGAAUCAUCGAAUCUUUGAACGCACAUUGCGCCCCUUGGUAUUCCAUGGGGCAUGCCUGUUCGAGCGUCAUUUGUACCUUCAAGCUCUGCUUGGUGUUGGGUGUUUGUCUCGCCUCUGCGUGUAGACUCGCCUCAAAACAAUUGGCAGCCGGCGUAUUGAUUUCGGAGCGCAGUACAUCUCGCGCUUUGCACUCAUAACGACGACGUCCAAAAGUACAUUUUUACACUCUUGACCUCGGAUCAGGUAGGGAUACCCGCUGAACUUAAGCAUAUCAAUAAGAGGAGGA
rnacentral:misc_RNA from 1 species